rnacentral:rRNA from 1 species
GAUGAACGCUGGCGGCGUGCCUAAUACAUGCAAGUCGAGCGAACAGACGAGGAGCUUGCUCCUCUGACGAUAGCGGCGGACGGGUGAGUAACACGUGGAUAACCUACCUAUAAGACUGGGAUAACUUCGGGAAACCGGAGCUAAUACCGGAUAAUAUAUUGAACCGCAUGGUUCAAUAGUGAAAGACGGUUUUGCUGUCACUUAUAGAUGGAUCCGCGCCGCAUUAGCUAGUUGGUAAGGUAACGGCUUACCAAGGCAACGAUGCGUAGCCGACCUGAGAGGGUGAUCGGCCACACGGGAACGGAGACACGGUCCAGACUCCUACGGGAGGCAGCAGAAGGGAAUCUUCCGCAAUGGGCGAAAGCCUGACGGAGCAACGCCGCGUGAGUGAUGAAGGUCUUCGGAUCGUAAAACUCUGUUAUUAGGGAAGAACAAAUGUGUAAGUAACUAUGCACGUCUUGACGGUACCUAAUCAGAAAGCCACGGCUAACUACGUG